UUUAAGGAAGGUUAAAAGGCCUUUGGUUCGGGACGCAGCCCAAGCCCCGUCUCUAGUUCCUCGCGUCCUUAGUCUGCAAACACCCGUGCAGGGGAAACCAUCAAUUUUUGCUGCCAAUUCUGGGAAAGGGCUACUAGAGCUGAGAUACCCUGAACCAACUGAAAUUCAGCCCUCACACCUCAUGCAAUCCAACUGGCUUCACUUGGCUUGCAUGAUGGAGGCAGGGUGAUUGUCUUUUGGAAAGACUUUUCCACUUCAGGAAGGAGCCCUUGAUAAGAAGCAAAAGCUCCAAAUAUUCCUGGCGUUCUGCCACAGAUAGACUGUCCAGGACAUUACAGUCACCCAGAGAAAGAUAGAGAGGAAGGAAGGUAGAACUCUCACCUUCACCACCUGAGAUUGCAGCCACCUGGGAGGAACUGGAAGUGGAACUGCUCUUUCCCCCCAA